UACGUAGGUGGCUAGCGUUGUCCGGAUUUACUGGGCGUAAAGAGCGCGCAGGCGGUCGUUCAAGUCGAGUGUGAAAGCCCCCGGCUCAACUGGGGAGGGUCACUCGAUACUGAUCGACUCGAAGGCAGGAGAGGGAAGCGGAAUUCCCGGUGUAGUGGUGAAAUGCGUAGAUAUCGGGAGAAACACCAGUGGCGAAGGCGGCUUUCUGGCCUGUUCUUGACGCUGAGGCGCGAAAGCUAGGGUAGCAAACGGG
rnacentral:rRNA from 1 species